GGGAAUUUCAAAAUAAAAAAUUAAGUAUGUUCUGUGUUUUCAUUUUAACUUUUUUAUGGUGUUCUUUGUGGUUGGCUGCAAUUGUGUAUCAUGUAUAUGGAACUUCUAGAAAGUUCUUGACAUUCAGAUUUUAGAGACGAAGUCACUUUUACCUAUAGAAAACCCACUUGUGUUGCGGGUUAUUUCAGCUUCAUUGACCUUUAGGAUACUAAACACCACUGAUAUUUUACAUGUAAUGUGUUCCUUUGAGAGAGGCACUUUUCUGUACAUAUGAUGGGCCAAUGCACAGUACCUUAUCACAUCCCCUUUUUUGUUUUGUAUCUGUUGUAGUGCAGGUGGACAGGUCACGCUGCACUUGAGUAACAACCAGACAUCUGUAUGAAGGUGACUCAGCCUGGGCACUUUCUGAUAACUGUAAAAUGUUUUAUAAGAUCAUGAUUACUAAAAAUACAUUUUGGAAAAUUUUAAAUGUUGGUGAGCAGCUUAACUACUUUUGUAUCUAGCCUUUUUUUUAAGUAUCUUGUUACAUUUUACUUUUUUAAAUAAAUUACAGAAGAAAUGUCAAGUAACAUUGAAGAUACAGUUUUUAUUUACAUAGUUGUACAUUUUUUAAGCUAGGGGCAAUGCACUGACAUGGUUAUAGUCAUACCUUUUUUUUAAGUCAUAUACAUGUGAACUAUAAGAAAGUUAAGAAAAUCAGUCCACAUUUUACAGUUAGCAGAGAAUCCUAAGUGGCACCCAGCCAGGCCUUUUCUUUUUACAAGGUGAAGUGAAGUGUGAUUAUUAAUCAGCACAGAUGGUUUGACUUUAACUAAGGGACAGGUGUUUUGUUUUGUUUUCAAAGACUGUUGUCUGGAACCAAUACCCUUAACAUUUGUGGACUUAUCAGGUUUAUUUGAUGGGAUAACAAGGAAUAAAAAGUCCCUACUAGGAUUUAAACUAGUUACUUAAAUAUAAAGAGAAUAGUGAGAGAAGUUGUUCUGUUGUCUCUCACCUAUCUUUUCAGUGCCUGUUUAGGACUUCUGGCCUUUGAUAGUUUUCAUGUUUAUAAAGGGACCAUACUCUAUUACAUAACUUCCUUUAAAAGACUGAAUCACAUGGCAUUCUCAGCCCUGUUGACACUAAAGAUAUAAAAUGUAUACAGCACCAUGCUGUAUUAGAUAUAUGUAAACUUACCAAAGUGACACAUUGGUUUAUACAUCUAAAUAUUACACUGAAUUAAGAGCUAACAAACAUCAAUGUGGCUAAAAGGAAUAAAACAAACAUACCCCUUGUGUGCACUUGACAGGCUUGAUAACUUAUUAAAUGAGAACAAGUUAAAUAUGAUGAGGACACUUAAACCCUAAUUAAGUUUAUUUUUAAUAGCUAUUGAAAGAAUGAAAAUAUUUAAAAUAAUGCAAUAUUUAAAGUGCAAGAUGUCUGAGGUCUUCCAUUUUAGUUAAAAUGCUUUUAGUAAUAAAAACAUAGUAAGAUUUUUUUGUUUUUAAUUUUGUGUGUGCAUGAGGGUUUUGUUGUUGUUGUGUGUGUGUGGGUUUUUUUUUUUUUCAGUAAAGCAUAAAAUGGUCUAAAUGUAAAAUAAAGUCAUAUAAAAUAAA
rnacentral:lncRNA from 1 species